CAAAGUGCUGGGAUUCCAGGCGUGAGCCACCGCGCCGGGACCCAAGGCCCUUAAGUUUUAAGGCCUCAUUCUUCAGUCAGGUUUUCCCUGUUCCCGCGUGUUCGGCCAAUUUUUUGUUGUUGUUGUUUUGUUUUUGUUUUUGUUUUUGAGUCAAUUUUCCAGACAUCUUUAAUUAGCAAUAUGUUUAAGUAGUUACAAGCCUUUCCUUCUUUUCUUGUGACAGUUUGGGUUGAAUUUCUAUCGUUUGCAGCCUGUCACUGUAAGGCACAAACAUGAUCACGCAAGAUGCGAUAGUAGAUUUAAGCCAGUUGUUUUUAAGUUUGUGUUUAAGGAGAAACUAACAAUGAAAACGGCCUCGUUGACGGAGGAAAAGUUGGAAUGCAGCCUCUGGUGCUGUUUGAGCGAUCCCUCUCCCCGGGGCCUGGCCGCGCGCUGCUGUGUUCUGGAAGGGCUCAUUGUACAGUCAAGGCGGCAGGGCCUUCUUCUGUCACCCAUGCUGGAGUGCAGUAGCAUGAUCACAGCUCACGGUAGCCUCCACCUUCUGGGCUCAAUCCUCCUACCUCAGCCUUCCAAGUAGCUGGGACUACAGUCUUGAGGAUCCAUUUUCUGAGACGGUGAUGGGAAAGAUGUUGGUUGUCAAGUGGAAUCUCAGCAGUCAUUUUCAGACAAAGUUAGAGAAAACAAGUAUGGAAGAUGCCUGAUUCUCAAAGAGUCAUCCAGUCUUGGGAUUACCGCCUACGUCCAUGGAAGUGAAAGUCCUCUUUUUCUUUGUACCACUUACUGAGACAUGCUGAAUGCUGUUUCUAGAUUUGUAAAAGUGCAGUGUGCAUUAGCUGCCUCAGUGUGACACUUUCCUUUUGUGAGACUAAAGAAAUUGAGGUAGUACUAUAUGGUACCUCAGAAUUGUCAUCAAGAAGUUUUGAAAGCUAACUUGAGUGCAUUUCUUUGAUGCUCCUCCUAGCUGAAAUUAGAACAUGUAUAAACUAUUAUCGAUAUUUCAUUAGGGAAAUCUUGAAAUAUAUGAUAAAUUAAGUUUGUGAAAUUGUUCUGAAGCAAUGAAUGAACUCUCUAGAUUAACUCUACUAGGAUAAAAUAAAAUAUUCCUAUUUAUUUUCAUUCACAAAA
rnacentral:lncRNA from 1 species